rnacentral:rRNA from 1 species
GAUGAACGCUAGCGGCAGGCCUAACACAUGCAAGUCGAGGGAGGAGCUUUCGGGCUUCGACCGGCGUACGGGUGCGUAACGCGUAUACAAUCUGCCUUUCACAUAGGGAUAGCCCGAAGAAAUUUGGAUUAAUACCUAAUGGUAUAUAGAGGUGGCAUCACCUUUAUAUUAAAGCUGGGGCGGUGAAAGAUGAGUAUGCGUUCUAUUAGCUAGUUGGAGAGGUAACGGCUCCCCAAGGCGACGAUAGAUAGGGGUUCUGAGAGGGAUAUCCCCCACACUGGUACUGAGAUACGGACCAGACUCCUACGGGAGGCAGCAGUGAGGAAUAUUGGACAAUGGUCGGAAGACUGAUCCAGCCAUGCCGCGUGCAGGAAGACGGCCUUAUGGGUUGUAAACUGCUUUUGCAGGGGAAGAAUAAGGACUACGCGUAGUUUGAUGACGGUACUCUGCGAAUAAGCAUCGGCUAACUCCGUG